AACGCGAAGAACCUUACCCAGGCUCGAAAUGUAGAGGCAACCAACAGAGAUGUUGGGUUCCGCAAGGACUUCUAUAUAGGUGCUGCAUGGCUGUCGUCAGCUCGUGCCGUGAGGUGUUGGGUUAAGUCCCGCAACGAGCGCAACCCUUAUCAUUAGUUGCCAACGCGUAAUGGCGGGGACUCUAGUGAGACUGCCUAGGUUAACUAGGAGGAAGGUGAGGAUGACGUCAAGUCCGCAUGGCCUUUAUGUCUGGGGCUACACACGUGCUACAAUGGUCGGUACAGAAGGCUGCAAGACCGCAAGGUGGAGCAAAUCCGUAAAGCCGAUCUCAGUUCGGAUUGUAGUCUGCAACUCGGCUACAUGAAGUUGGAAUUGCUAGUAAUGACGUGUCAGCAACAACGUCGUGAAUACGUUCCCGGGCCUUGUA
rnacentral:rRNA from 1 species